GACGAACGCUGGCGGCGUGCUUAACACAUGCAAGUCGAACGGAAAGGCCCUGCUUUUGUGGGGUGCUCGAGUGGCGAACGGGUGAGUAACACGUGAGUAACCUGCCCUUGACUUUGGGAUAACUUCAGGAAACUGGGGCUAAUACCGGAUAGGAGCUCCUGCUGCAUGGUGGGGGUUGGAAAGUUUCGGCGGUUGGGGAUGGACUCGCGGCUUAUCAGCUUGUUGGUGGGGUAGUGGCUUACCAAGGCUUUGACGGGUAGCCGGCCUGAGAGGGUGACCGGCCACAUUGGGACUGAGAGACGGACCAGACUCCUACGGGAGGCAGCAGUGGGGAAUAUUGCACAAUGGGCGGAAGCCUGAUGCGGCAACGCCGCGUGCGGGAUGACGGCCUUCGGGUUGUAAACCGCUUUCGCCUGUGACGAAGCGUGAGUGACGGUAAUGGGUAAAGAAGCACCGGCUAACUACGUG
rnacentral:rRNA from 1 species